UUGUCUGUCAAAAUCGAGCGCCAUAAAGUGAAUAGCCCGCGUAUUUUGACUGUCAAUAAAA
rnacentral:precursor_RNA from 1 species